ACUUGUGGAGCGGUGCAUGCAGGAAGGAAAGGCUGCCCUAGAGGCAACACCUGUUUGAAAUGUCCCUGUUAUCUCUGUUUUAACCUGUUCUUCAGCUCAUCUUUCCUGCCUCUCCUGGCUUCUUUAUCUCUCCAGGAGAAAGCUCUGCCUUUCUCUUGAAUUCCCCAUGUAACUCACUGUUCUGUAACCUUGCGCUUAAUUGUCUGUCUCUUCCAGUAGACGGCGAGGGGUUUAAGGACCAGGUCUCCAGAGUGCGGCCCCUGGCAGGAUAAUGAAUGAUGAGUAAACGCACGAGUGAGUGAACCAUGUGGUGGAGCCAGACGCCAUCUUGAAAAACAUAGAUGAGAGUGGUCUCCCAAGAAGCCCUUCUGAUGACCAGCGAGCUAGAACCUGAGAAAUGAGGUCAAUGACCAAACAAAGACACGGCACUGGGUAUUUCCCUGCUAGAAUGUGUGGAAAUAUAUAAUAACACCAAACCCCAAUGAUGGAAAACAAGCUGUGAGUGGAAGUGGAGGCAUUUGAUGGCCCAGCUGAGAACAAAUGGAAGCUAGGCAUAGCCGUGCACACCUGUAAUUCCAGCACUCAGGAGGCUGAACCAGAGGACUGCAGCAAGUUCAAGGCCAGCUUGAGUUACACAGCGAGUUCAAGACCAGCCUGAACUACAUAAGGAGACCCUGUCUAAAAAAAGGGACAUGAUGGAAAAUGUUAUCAUUUGUGCUUCUGAAUUGAUUUAUUCUGAACUUUUUUAUGGACUGGCAAACUCAUAUUAAUUUUUUUUUGAUACUGGGGAUUGAACUUGGGACCUUGUGCUUGCAAGGCAGGCGACAGAAACACUGAGCUAAAUUUUGUUAUAAGGGCCCUAGCUGUUUCUUUUCUUCCUUCUGUAGAAGCAGAUGUGGUCUAUUACUGGACUAUAUGCUCAGCUUUUUUAUUUUUUAUUUUGAGACAGGGUCUUGCUAGGCUGGGCUCGAACUACUGGUGUGUGCUACCCAGCCUGGCUUGUUUCUUUUUUUGGUCCCGGGGAUUGAACUCAGGACCUUGCAUUUGCGAGGCAGGAGGUGGAACCACUGAGCUAAAUCCGCAGCCUGGCUUGUUUCUUAACAAGUGCAACAAAAACAGUUUUCUUUUUUAUUAUAUCAAAUCCCCCAGA